CGAGUUGCAGUAAUCCAGACGGGAGAUGACAAGUGCCUGGAUUAGGACCUGUACAUCAGUUAGCUGCACUGACAGGAAAGACAUAUCAGGUGCUCUUUGAGGAGGUGCACUCAACCAUUGGAAGAGAUCUUUCAGAGAUCAAAAUGCAAGUGGCCUGGCUGCGUUGGGCCGGCCUGUGAGGUGUUGGUGGUGGUCUCUGGGUGCUGGUCUAGGCGGAGAGGCAGAGGCAGGAGGAGCCUGCAGUGGAGGAGUGGCUGUUGGUGUUGAGGUGGUGCCCGUGCCAGGCCAUACCUGGGGGUCGGAGAGGGCCAAGUAGAUAGCAGCUGAGCCGUUCUGCUCUGCCCUCCCUAGAGACACUGGUAGGAGGCAGCAUCAGCAAUGGCAACAGACCCAGA